AACGAACGCUGGCGGCAUGCCUAACACAUGCAAGUCGAACGAGACCUUCGGGUCUAGUGGCGCACGGGUGCGUAACGCGUGGGAACCUGCCCUUAGGUUCGGAAUAACUCCCCGUCAGGGGUGCUAAUACCGGAUAAUGUCUUCGGACCAAAGAUUUAUCGCCUUUGGGUGGGCCCGCGUUGGUUUAGCUUGUUGGUAGGGUAAAAGCCUACCAAGGCGACGAUCCAUAGCUGGUCUGAGAGGAUGAUCAGCCACACUGGGACUGAGACACGGCCCAGACUCCUACGCGAGGCAGCAGUGGGGAAUAUUGGACAAUGGGCGAAAGCCUGAUCCAGCAAUGCCGCGUAAGUGAUGAAGGCCUUAGGGUUGUAAAGCUCUUUUACCCGGGAUGAUAAUGACAGUACCGGGAGAAUAAGCACCGGCUAACUCCGUG
rnacentral:rRNA from 1 species